CAAUAGCGUAUAUUAAAGUUGUUGCAGUUAAAACGCUCGUAGUCGGAUUUCGGGGCGGGUCCGCCGGUCUGCCGAUGGGUACGCACUGGCGGGCGCGUCCUUCCUUCCGGAGACUGGCCCUACUCUUAGCUGAGCGGGGUCGGGAGUCGGAUCGUUUACUUUGAAAAAAUCAGAGUGUUUCAAGCAGGCAGCUCGCUCUUGCAUGGAUUAGCAUGGGAUAAUGAAAUAGGACUUUGGUGCUAUUUUGUUGGUUUCGAACACCGAAGUAAUGAUUAACAGGGACAGUCAGGGGCACUCGUAUUCCGCCGAGAGAGGUGAAAUUCUCAGACCAGCGGAAGACGAACCACUGCGAAAGCAUUUGCCAGGGAUGUUUNCACUGA
rnacentral:rRNA from 1 species